rnacentral:misc_RNA from 1 species
GAUGAAGAACGUAGCGAAAUGCGAUAAGUAAUGUGAAUUGCAGAAUUCAGUGAAUCAUCGAAUCUUUGAACGCACAUUGCGCCUCCUGGUAUUCCGGGGGGCAUGCCUGUCCGAGCGUCAUUACAACCCUCAAGCUCAGCUUGGUGUUGGGCCCCGCCGCCCCGGCGGGCCCUAAAGUCAGUGGCGGUGCCGUCCGGCUCCGAGCGUAGUAAUUCUUCUCGCUAUGGAGGUCCGGUCGUGUGCUCGCCAGCAACCCCCAAUUUUUUUCAGGUUGACCUCGGAUCAGGUAGGGAUACCCGCUGAACUUAAGCAUAUCAAUAAGCGGAGGA